CCUACGGGUGGCAGCAGUGAGGAAUAUUGGUCAAUGGCCGAGAGGCUGAACCAGCCAAGUCGCGUGAGGGAAGAAUGUUCUAUGGAUUGUAAACCGCUUUUGUCAGAGAGCAAACUCACACACGCGUGGCUGUCUGAGAGUAUCUGACGAAAAAGCAUCGGCUAACUCCGUGCCAGCAGCCGCGGUAAUACGGAGGAUGCGAGCGUUAUCCGGAUUUAUUGGGUUUAAAGGGUGCGUAGGCGGGUUAUGAAGUCAGCGGUAAAAUCGCGGGGCUCAACUCCGUACAGCCGUUGAUACUGGUGAGCUAGAGUGGGCGAGAGGUAUGCGGAAUGCAUGGUGUAGCGGUGAAAUGCAUAGAGAUCACACAGAACUCCGAUUGCGAAGGCAGCUUACCGGCGCCCGACUGACGCUGAAGCACGAAAGCGUGGGUAGCGAACAGGAUUAGAUACCCGAGUAGUC
rnacentral:rRNA from 1 species